GCGUUGUUAGCUCAGCAGGAUGGAGCAAAUGCCUUCUAAGCAAUCGGUAACUGGUUUGACUCCAGGACAGUGCGUCA
rnacentral:tRNA from 1 species